AUGGUUUAACAAUGUCAAGUAUCAACUUUGUGCUAAGAAAAUGUCCUAAGACAAAUGUUGAAGUAAUAUAAUUCACAGAACGAAGAAUAUCGCCAUGAAUGGUAAUUGCAUAUACAUCAUGAAUAUUUUUGUCCUUAAUUUGUUGAGUUAACCAACCUACUCUUUGGCAUGCAUAGGUAGCCUGACAUUUUCUAGGACAAACAUGCAAGCUAUUAAAAAAUAAAAUAAAAUAUACAAUAUAAAUAGACAAGAAAAGCGAAACAAAGAAAUCACUUGUACACAGGUGCAUAUGGGAAGUAUCUUUAACUUCAGAGAGAGAGA
rnacentral:lncRNA from 1 species